AACGAACGCUGGCGGCAGGCUUAACACAUGCAAGUCGAGCGCCCCGCAAGGGGAGCGGCAGACGGGUGAGUAACGCGUGGGAAUCUACCAUCUCUACGGAAUAACGCAUGGAAACGUGUGCUAAUACCGUAUACGUCCUUCGGGAGAAAGAUUUAUCGGAGAUGGAUGAGCCCGCGUUGGAUUAGCUAGUUGGUAGGGUAAAGGCCUACCAAGGCGACGAUCCAUAGCUGGUCUGAGAGGAUGAUCAGCCACACUGGGACUGAGACACGGCCCAGACUCCUACGGGAGGCAGCAGUGGGGAAUAUUGGACAAUGGGCGCAAGCCUGAUCCAGCCAUGCCGCGUGAGUGAUGAAGGCCCUAGGGUUGUAAAGCUCUUUCACCGGUGAAGAUAUUGACGGUAACCGGAGAAGAAGCCCCGGCUAACUUCGUGCCAGCCGCCGCGGUAAUAC
rnacentral:rRNA from 1 species